CGCUACUGCAUCCACUGGCCUGCAAGGUGGAAGGGGAGGAGGAGAAGGGAAGGAGUGACCGGCGGGGCUGGGGGGCAGGAGCAGCACGAGCCGUCGCCCCGUCCCGGGGUGGCAGCGGGAGGGGGAGGGGGAGGGAAGGACGUGGGAGGCACACAUCAAGUCACCGCAGCCGAGGGGGAGGGGGGGUGUCCAAACCCACAGGAACACGGAAUUCCCGGGAGCUGGCACGCGUUUGUUUUCAACGAGAGGGCAGUGUCCGCGCCUCCCGAGGGACAGGAUGAGGAGCUUACCUUUCCAUUUUAUACCUUGGCCCGAAGCAGGGCUCGGGGCUCCCCUAGCUCUACCCUGCCCCGCAGGUCCCGAGCCCACUUUCUCACGAGCGGAGGAGCCGCAGCGCGCGGGCUGCUAACCAGGGCGCAGCUGGGGACGUCGAGGCAGGGUCAGGGACGUCCCUUCCCCCUCCAAGGUCUGCGCCCCUGCCCCCCGGGGUCGAGGCCGCGUAGCCCCGGGCGUGCGUGGGAACCCGUGGGCGCCACACACAGGCUGCGAGCCGGGGCGCGGCUAAUCCAGGGCUCCAAUGGAGACGGGGAAUGGGGCGCGGGAGCCUCUCACCUGUCGGGGCCGCAGCCCCGGGGCCGCCGGCCGGGCCGCGCCGCCCGCCAGAGCCUCGGGCUGGGCCGGAGUUUGGGGAGGGCGGGCCGGGGAGGAAGCCCCGGGCAUUUCCCAGCGCCCCGGAGCCUCCCCGCAGAGCGCCGGCGAUUCCUCCGGCAAGUUCCCGGAAAGGGAGAGCGCAACCUGCCCACCUUGGCCCCCAACCUCCCCGCGCGCGCUCCCGACGGCUCCGACGCUCCGCCUCCUGUGGGCGCCCCUCCCCAGGCCGGCUCAGGCCCCUCCUCGGAGGGCUCGGACCCGGGGGAGGCGGAGGCGCCCCUGCGCCUCGGCGGGGGGGGGCGGCGAGGUUGGGACGGGGUCGACGACUACUUCCGCCGGGACCCUUUUCCUCAAGAUGGCGGCGGUGGCGCCGAGGGGAUCGGGCUCUAUGACCCUCCUUGCGGCCCCGAAAGAACCCUCUCCCACUCUGCGCUAGCCCCGCCCCCUGCCGCAGCUGUCACUGCCAAGGGUCAGCCUGGAAGACUCCCUAUGGUCCCCGGACCGGGAAAAGGCGGCUGGCCGGGCGGGCGGUCCAAGGCUGAAUGGCCAUCAGCACGCAUGGGGCUUUAA
rnacentral:lncRNA from 1 species